rnacentral:snRNA from 1 species
GUGCUCGCUUCAGCAGCACAUAGACUAAAAUUGGAAAGACAUGGCCCCUGCACCAGGAUGACACGCAAAUCCGUGAAGCGUUCCAUAUUUUU